AUUGGACAGAUAUGGAAAUUGAGGCUCAGAGAUGUGAAGUAACCUGCCCAGGGUCAAAGGGCUUCCGUGAGAACCCAAGUUGUUCUGAUCCCAAAGCCCAUGUUAUUAGUCCCUCACCCUCUCACCCCUUCCUUACCUUGAGCCUGGGGACAGCUUGUGCAAGGGUAAGAACAGGACGUUUGGAGCCACACUGACCUGACCUGGGUUCUAUUCCAGCCUUGCCGAUGACUCCUUGUAGCCUGGGUGGUCACCUCACCUCUUUCAACCUCUGUUCCCUUACCUGGUGAAUGGGCACCUCAUUGACCAUCAAGUAGGAUCAUAGUGGGGUGUGGACCGCUAUGCCCAGGUAGGGCCCAGCAUACAGUGAGUAAAUGGCGGCUCAUGGUCUCCCCCCGCUCCCACCACUUAGGACCAUGCUUCCAAAGUUGAGAAGUAUCAACUGAGCCUCUGGAGUUGUCUUCUCAGGUCAGGAAAUUGGGACUAGUCAAUGAGAGGUCAGAGGAGGAGGUCCCUGUGGCAGAGCAUACCUUCCAAAACAUGUGGCCUCAGGAAGAUUUCCAGUUCUACAUACUGGAGCCUUGUCAUUCUCCACCAAGAGAUGUGGGUUAUUGCCCCUCUUCUCACUGGGCAGAACUUUGUGACUGCCUCAGUGAACAGAAUAGAGCAAAAGUGAUACUACAUUAACUUCCCAGGCUAAAUCUUAAAAUGUGAUAAGGCUUCUAUCUGUCUGUCUCUGUCUCUUUCUGGAAUCCACCAGCCAUAUUGUGAGGAAGCCCAAGCCACCCGGAGAGGCCACUGUAGGUGCUCUGGGCCAACAGCCUCCAUUAAGGUCUCCACCUUAGGCCAGCUUCAGUGCUCAACAUGUGCACAAACGACUCUCCAAAUGAUUCCUGCUCCUGACUGCAACCAUCUCAGCACUGGACGCCAUCACAUGGACCCCCCUGGCCACAGCCCUCUCAGGAGGGUAGACCGGGAAGAGCUGUUACUAUACAGAUGCAGAAACUGGGGCUCUGAGAGAGAGGAAGGAAGAGGAAAGAAGAGGAAAAAGUAGCCCAAAGCCCCACAGCAGUCACAGAGCUGGGACAUAAACCUUGGCUCUGCCACAAAGCCCAUCAUCCGCAGAGACUUCUGACUCGGAUGAUUCCCACACUUCCUCCAGAAUGCACAUCCUAUCCUAGGGUCCCCCAGGCAGACGGAAGAUGUCAGGAGGAGGGAAGUGCAGGAUAGCCUGAGCCUGAUGAACUACAUGCCAUAAUGCCAUCAUCUGCACCAUUGUGGGAGCUGCAUUCCUCUGUCUCUAUGUGGACCUGAGGUCGUGCCAUAGUCCCCAAGACCCUGGGCAACCCAGCCCAGCUGGCCCUCCGGCCUUUUCUCCUCCCUCUUCCCCCUCUGCCCUAUGAGCUCCUGUCACUUGGUCUUUCUUGCUUUCUUCAACAUACCAGGCUUCCAGCCACAGGGCCUUUGCACGUACAGUCCCCUUACUUUAGAAGACGUGCCCCAAGCCCCAGCCCCUUCCAUGUCCACAGUUAAUGCCUCUUCAACCUUCCUUCUUUUUAAAAUAACAGCUUUAUUGACAUAUAAUUCAUAUGUCAUAUAGUUGACCUAUUUAAAACAUGUGAUUCAAUGGUUUUUAGUAUGUCCACAGAUCUGGGUAAUCAUCACCACGAUCAGUUCUAGGACAUUUGCAUCAUCGUCUAAAACCCUGUACUCAUUUACCAGUCACUGCCCCCCAACUCCCCCACACGCACCAUUUGGCAACCCCUAAUCUACUUUCUGCGUCUGUAGAUUUGCCUCUUCUGGACGUUUCCUAUAAAUGGAGUCUUACAUUUUGG